GCCCGCUUAGCUCAGUGGUAGAGCGCAUCACUAGUAAUGAUGAGGUCGCCAGUUCAAUUCUGGUAGCGGGCA
rnacentral:tRNA from 1 species